GCUAAAUGAGGAGAUAGAACGAGGUCUUCGACUGUUUUGACGCUCUUUUGUUAACCCCCAGCCUUUCCAGUCUCCCUCUGAAAUGCCCUGCUUGUCAUUGCUGGGAUGUGGUUGCAACAGUGAGCAUGUUGUUCUUAUUGCAAUGGGGGACCAUCUCCUACUCCUCGAACAAGCCCUGCGUGGAGUUUUCCUCGAUGGACCUGAUUCUGAUGCAGCAGUUGCAGGUGACUCUAGACCUCCAUUAAACUGAUGCAGAUAAACAGAGGCACCAGCAGGAUG
rnacentral:misc_RNA from 1 species